rnacentral:pre_miRNA from 1 species
ACUUUCGGUUAUCUAGCUUUAUGAAGGACCAAUACACUCAUACAGCUAGAUAACCAAAGAU